UGGGGGGCGCGAGCCCACGACAAGUGCAGCAGAGAGAAGACCGCCGAUGGCCUCAUUUCUUCGGAAGGGGCACAGGUAAGGCUGAAAGGGUGCGGUAAGAGCGCACCGUGCGACUGGCAACAGUUCGUAGCAAGGUAAACUCCACCCGGAGCAAGAUCAAAUAGGCCCUCACAUUGCGUUGCUCGCGUAUGGGGGCGGGUAGAUUGCUUGAGCCUGUGAGCGAUUGCAGGCCUAGACGAAUGGUUACCGCCGCGCAAGCGGAACAGAACCCGGCGUAUGUGUCAACUCCACCU
rnacentral:RNase_P_RNA from 1 species